AUUGAACGCUGGCGGCAUGCUUCACACAUGCAAGUCGAGCGGCAGCGCGGGGGCAACCCUGGCGGCGAGCGGCGAACGGGUGAGUAAUACAUCGGAACGUACCCAGGAGUGGGGGAUAGCCCGGCGAAAGCCGGAUUAAUACCGCAUACGAUCUUAGGAUGAAAGUGGGGGACCGCAAGGCCUCACGCUUUUGGAGCGGCCGAUGUCCGAUUAGCUAGUUGGUGGGGUAAAGGCCACCAAGGCGACGAUCGGUAGCUGGUCUGAGAGGAUGAUCAGCCACACUGGGACUGAGAUACGGCCCAGACUCCUACGGGAGGCAGCAGUGGGGAAUCUUGCGCAAUGGGCGAAAGCCUGACGCAGCGACGCCGCGUGAGGGAUGACGG
rnacentral:rRNA from 1 species